rnacentral:rRNA from 1 species
GAUGAACGCUGGCGGCGUGCUUAACACAUGCAAGUCGAACGGUGAACGAGGGAGCUUGCUCCCUCCGGAUCAGUGGCGAACGGGUGAGUAACACGUGAGCAAUCUGCCCUGGACUCUGGGAUAAGCGUUGGAAACGACGUCUAAUACCGGAUACGAGGCGUGGGGGCAUCCCCAACGCCUGGAAAGAACUUCGGUCCAGGAUGAGCUCGCGGCCGAUCAGCUAGUUGGUGAGGUAACGGCUCACCAAGGCGACGACGGGUAGCCGGCCUGAGAGGGUGACCGGCCACGCUGGGACUGAGACACGGCCCAGACGCCUACGGGAGGAAGCAGUGGGGAAUAUUGCACAAUGGGCGCCAGCCUGAUGCAGCAACGCCGCGUGAGGGACGACGGCCUUCGGGUUGUAAACCUCUUUUAGCAGGGAAGAAGCGAAAGUGACGGUACCUGCAGAAAAAGCACCGGCUAACUACGUGCCAGCCGCCGCAGUAAUAC